CUUUUGUGAAGUUCUUACAGGACUCUGAUUUAGACUAUUGUUUUGGGGAGUGAGUAGAUUGCGAGUGAGUAGCAGUUGCAGAGCAAGUGCAGAGAGGCUGAGGAGGUUGCACAGAAGAGAUGUCCAAGCAACUUGCAACCUUCCCUGCCAGCUUCUUGAUUCUCAACUUUCCCUGUCAUCUUCCCAGAACCAAAGGCUUUGCUAGUGGGAAGGUGGCAGGCAGCAUCAGCAGUCACAAUGGACUUUACAGUUCCUGCUGGCUUUUCCUUUGCCUUAUGAGAGGCUGUCAUGGAAAUAAGGAUCAUGUAACCACAGCUGACUGUGACAGCCCAGCAAUACUUGAAGCAGCAACAACUUCCCCAAAUUUCAUACCCAUGGGAGUCAUGAAUCCCAGCAUUUCGUCCAUUUACUGAAGACUGAGAUAGGCAGAAAUCUUACUUGUGAAACAUUCCUACAAUCUCUGAACAGGAAUUGAAGUGCAUGAGGAUGUCUUGGAUCCACAGAUUGACUGACAUCAAUUAACCAGACCUUCAAAAAAAAAUACAGCUUGAAUAUGCUAAGAAAAAUACAAAUAAGGCUAUUUCAAAUUAUCAUCUUCCAUUUAAAAUUAGCUUACCUGUCCUCUAUGCCACAGCAUGUUGUACUCACUCAGGUCAGCAUGAACUAAAUUACACUCCUUAUAUAACUGUUGCAUCAUCUGGAAGAAAACAGCAAGUAAUAUUUUUGGAAUAUAACACAAAUAAAAAUUUCAAUGAUCUAUU